UGAUCCCUUCCCGAACUCAGUAGUGAAACGACGCAUCGCCGAUGGUAGUGUGGGGUCUCCCCAUGUGAGAGUAGGUCAUCGUCAAGC
rnacentral:rRNA from 1 species